AGAACGAACGCUGGCGGCAUGCCUAAUACAUGCAAGUCGAACGAACACUUCGGUGUUAGUGGCGCACGGGUGCGUAACGCGUGGGAAUCUGCCCUUGGGUUCGGAAUAACAGUUGGAAACGACUGCUAAUACCGGAUGAUGACGAAAGUCCAAAGAUUUAUCGCCCAGGGAUGAGCCCGCGUAGGAUUAGCUAGUUGGUGAGGUAAAGGCUCACCAAGGCGACGAUCCUUAGCUGGUCUGAGAGGAUGAUCAGCCACACUGGGACUGAGACACGGCCCAGACUCCUACGGGAGGCAGCAGUAGGGAAUAUUGGACAAUGGGCGAAAGCCUGAUCCAGCAAUGCCGCGUGAGUGAUGAAGGCCUUAGGCUGUAAAGCCCUUUUACCCGAGAUGAUAAUGACAGUAUCGGGAGAAUAAGCCCCGGCUAACUCCGUGCCAGCAGCCGC
rnacentral:rRNA from 1 species